ACACCUAUGGAGCAGUAGUUUGAGCUCAUUCUCCUCCCAUGGUCUUGCUUGGUCAGGACAUGAGUGAGGGAAAGACCCGGGUGCGAAUCCCGGUGGGUGCA